CCACCAAGGCGAUGAUCGGUAUCCGGCCUGAGAGGGCGCACGGACACACUGGAACUGAAACACGGUCCAGACUCCUACGGGAGGCAGCAGUGGGGAAUUUUGCGCAAUGGGGGAAACCCUGACGCAGCAACGCCGCGUGGAGGAUGAAGUAUCUUGGUACGUAAACUCCUUUCGAUAGGGAAGAUAAUGACGGUACCUAUAGAAGAAGCCCCGGCUAACUUCGUGCCAGCAGCCGCGGUAAUACGAGGGGGGCAAGCGUUGUUCGGAUUUAUUGGGCGUAAAGGGUGCGUAGGCGGUUUGGCAAGUCUUAUGUGAAAUCUAUGGGCUCAACCCAUAGUCUGCAUAAGAAACUGCCGGGCUUGAGUAUUGGAGAGGUGAGUGGAAUUUCCGGUGUAGCGGUGAAAUGCGUAGAUAUCGGAAGGAACACCUGUGGCGAAAGCGGCUCACUGGACAAUAACUGACGCUGAGGCACGAAAGCUAGGGGAGCAAACAGGAUUAGAUACCCUGGUAGUCCUAGCC
rnacentral:rRNA from 1 species